rnacentral:rRNA from 1 species
GACAGAGGGUGCAAACGUUGUUCGGAAUUACUGGGCGUAAAGCGCGUGUAGGCGGCAAGGCAAGUCGGAUGUGAAAGCCCGCGGCUCAACCGUGGAAGUGCACUCGAAACUGCCUAGCUAGAGUCUCGGAGAGGAAGGUGGAAUGCUUGGUGUAGAGGUGAAAUUCGUAGAUAUCAAGCGGAACACCGGUGGCGAAGGCGGCCUUCUGGACAGUGACUGACGCUGAGACGCGAAAGCGUGGGGAGCAAACAGG